rnacentral:tRNA from 1 species
ACCUGCGGCUGGAUCACCUCCUUUCAAGGAACAAUGAUGAGUAUAUGUAUUGGUGAGAGCUGAUAAAUAUAUUUGCAUUGUUUUAAGACAAAGCCCUGUUUUUGAUAAAGCAGGCGAUGGCCGAUAAGGCGCCGUCAACAUAUCCCUUUUUUACGAUGUUAUGGGCUAGUAGCUCAGUUGGUUAGAGCACACGCUUGAUAAGCGUGGGGUCGGAGGUUCAAGUCCUCCCUGGCCCACCAUUAUUUCUGGGUUGAGAGAUCUGGGAUUGAUUUUGGGGGGCGUAGCUCAGUUGGUAGAGCACCUGCUUUGCAAGCAGGGGGUUGUCGGUUCGAUCCCGUCCGCCUCCACCACUUUCGUGGUGUUAACAUUGUAAUAAAGAGGGUUUUGAGUUUGCUGCACGGGAUAUUUUUCUGUGUGAGCGAUGUUUGAUCUUUGUCAGAGUGAAUAGGUUGGUGCACUUUCUGUGUGCUGUUGGUUUCUGGGUUCGUCUGACCCGUGGAGAAGCCUUUGAGCGAUGCUGAUGUCUGACAUUGGUAUUGUGAAGGGUUUUGAAGCGAUGAGGAAGCUGACGCUUGGCAUACAGAGAGUGAGAAGAAAGAGUAGAAUAAUUGAGAGAUACGCGGAUGCUGCAUUUUCUCUACGGAGUAACGCUGCACGUGAGACGUGUGGAUGGUUGCUGUGUAUGUGUAGCAUGUGAGCGCGAUAAGGGCAUUCGG